rnacentral:tRNA from 1 species
AUUUAUAUAUUAUAUUUAGUAAAAUUAACUUCCAAUUAAUCAGUUCAAUAUUUUUGAUAUAAAUA